rnacentral:tRNA from 1 species
GGAGAGGUGCUCGAGUGGUUUAAGAGGCACGCUUGGAAAGCGUGUGAACUCCAAAAGGGUUCCGGGGGUUCGAAUCCCUUCUUCUCCGC